UGGAAGCUUUCACAGCUUCUGCUUGUUGGGCAGAGGGAAUCCUCCAGGCAUCGGGUCCUCGGUCAGGUUGACCUCAAACGGCGGAAGGUCGGUCUUUUCGAUUGGAUAAAACCCUGUCGUCACCACGGGAAUGGCAGGGCUGCUUUUCUCCGAGGAUGUCGAAUAUACUGUAGGUUUCUUCUUGUUGUCUGGGUCACGUGAGACAAUGAAGAGAUGAACCACUGCGCCUGCCAGAAAGAUUGAGGAAGUGAGGGCUCCCAGAACUAGGCACCAUGGGAUUGGGACAAAGAUGCCAUACAUGUUGCCACCAUAGUACAUAUCGAUCAUUUCAUGAAGGUGUAGCAGACUCAUGGAGAUUUUUCCAACAGCUAUCCAAAAGAGGACUCCUGUCAAAAGAAAGGUACAAUUUGAUCUAUAUGUCUAAUAAAAAAAAUGC
rnacentral:sRNA from 1 species